rnacentral:misc_RNA from 1 species
GUGGGAAGACAGCGGGUGUUAUGGAGUCCCAGCCACCACCUGCCUGUCAAAUGUCGAGCUUGGUGCAAGCGUUGACAGGCAGGCAAGGAGACAGUCAGCUGUGGUAGUGGCGACGACGACGACAGUCAGGUGUUGGAGGAGCCGCCAGUGUUGGAGGCACCAGUGGUGGUGUAGUGAGUGUCGCGCCACCUAUGUGUGUAGUGGUAAUGGUGGGCCAGCGUAUUGUUCUCCCGGCUCUAUACCGCUGCCCCGUGCUCAUGCUCCCGGCAAGAUGGUGACCUGGUGUUCCCUGCCAGAUCACGUCUUGGAGGUCAUCUUCUCGUACCUGGACGUGCACGACCUGCGCAACUGUUCCCUGGUGUGCAAGACCUGGUACAAGUACCUCAACGACGAGAACAACGACGUGUGGCGGCUCCACUGCGUCAGGAAACUAGCCGAAGAGGCCCUUAAAUCCGAUUUAUUAUCCUCCGUGCCCACUUAUAAGGCUAAAUUGAGAGCCUUCUACCACGCGUGGAACCCCAAUGAUUGCUCGAGGAAUAUCUACGUGAAGCCCAACGGGUUCACCCUGCACCGGAACCCUGUGGCCCAGAGUACCGAUGGGGCCCGGGGUAAGAUUGGCUUCAGGUCAGGGCGGCAUGCCUGGGAGGUGGUGUGGGAGGGCCCCCUGGGCACGGUGGCCGUCAUUGGCAUAGCCACCAGGGAGGCGGCCGUACAGUGCCCGGGGUACGUGGCACUCCUGGGCUCCGACGAACACUCCUGGGGUUGGAAUCUCGUCGAUAAUCACUUGUUACACAAUGGGGAUUCGCAGGGAAAUUAUCCGCAGUUGAAUAAUGCGCCGAAGUACCAGUUUGUGAACCUCUGGCUCUGCUUCCUAAGCAAAUGCGCACAUCCCCUGCUUUGCUGAAUCUACAAACACUUAUUGAGCGAAGCAGGUAGGGGAGAGAAUACGGGUGAUAUUGGACUGUGAUGAUAACACGUUAGCAUUUGAGAAGAACUACGAAUUCCUAGGAGUUGCUUUUAGAGGACUGCCAGACAAGCAGUUGUACCCUUCAGUGUCUGCUGUGUAUGGCAA